rnacentral:rRNA from 1 species
CCUACGGGAGGCUGCAGUCGAGAAUCAUUCACAAUGGGGGAAACCCUGAUGGUGCGACGCCGCGUGGGGGAAUGAAGGUCUCGGGUUUUUAACCUCCUGUCAUGUGGGAGAACAGUAGAAAGAAAGUACCAAACAAGGAAGGGACGGCUACUUGUGAGCAAGCAGCUGAGUUAAUACGGAGGUCUCAAGCGUUGUUCGGAUUUACUGGGUGUAAAGCGUGCGUAGGCGGUUACGUAAGUCGUGUGUGAAAGGUGGAGGCUCAACCUCCAGAUUGCACAUGAUACUGUGUGACUAGAGUACUGGAGAGGGAGACGGAAUUCUCGGUGUAGCGGUGAAAUGCGUAGAUAGCAGGAGGAACACUCGUGGCGAAGGCGGGUUCCUGGACAUUAACUGACGGUGAGGCACGAAGGCGUGGGGAGCAAAAGGGAUUAGAUACCCCUGUAGUC